ACUAUCUUUAAGUGGGCUCCCACUGACGUUAUUGGUAUCCUGUGGUGAGAGAAUAGGGCCAAUAUUUUUAGAUUUGUAUACGUUAGCUAUUUUCUGGAGUUGUUACAACACUAGUAUAUUUUUAGUGGUUCAUUAUAUUAAGUCGAAGAGCCUUUGCGUUGUGUUGUGUCAUACGCAGCGUGCGAACUUCCUGGAGCUCAUCUGUUCCUUUGAUCCUACCAGCCACAAUAGCAGCAGAACUAACUCAUCGUCCACGACUAUUUCUUCCUUAAUAGGAGCUCUCCAGUGAAAGAAGAGCUGAAGAAGAGCACCUCUUUAUACUUGGAGCAAAAAUUGGUGGCAUCUGAAGUAAUGCAACACACUAAACUACAGUGCACAGACAGGAGGGCAGUAAGUUACCCUGGUUCAAAGCAUGUUUAAGAUAACAUUUUGGUUGGCUUGCAACAGCCGCGCUGUGGAAGCUCACAAGCUAAGAAAGGCUGGGCCUCAUUAAUGCUUGGAUGGGAGAUCUCCAGACAGCAUUAAGAUUUAUUUCAGAAAGUUGCAUUAGUGACUUCUUAGCUGGCACUUGGAAUUGGUGCUGUCUCAGUGUUUAGCAUGUUUAUAGGGGUAGAAUAUUGCAAGAGAGAAACAGCUGUAUUUUCAACUACUUUGCACAGUCUUUACUUCAGCAUAAAAAAGUCAGAUCCAGCAGAUAAAAGCGAGUGUUUUAGCACUAAAAAUGCACUGUUGCUAGUUGUAAGUAUAGAGGAAGUUUAACUGUAGCGUUCUUGGCCAAGCCUCUGCUUGGGUUCUUUCUGCCCAUGAGUGCAGUUUCACACGGGGCUUGAGUCAAUCUAAAAGCACAUCGCUACUGUGACAGGAGCGGACCUGCUCUCCUCCACCACUUCCAGGCACAUAGUCCUCACUCUGGCCUGCUCUGCCUGAAAGGCAACCCUACAAAACACCGAGGUGAUGCAGAAGUGACCAGACGGAUCAAUGAGGUGAUGCAGCUGCAUGAUUUAAGGAUGCCAGCACAGGGGACGUGGUGGGGACCCAUGGCUGGGAGCAAGGCAGGGCUGUUCUACUGGUCACCCUCAAACAGUCUCAGGUGACUGCUAAAGUGGUACCCUGCAAUCCCUCAGUGGUUUUGUUUUGAGAAGACAUUCUGCUCAUCCUGUCCCAGGCCUUUCUGUGCAGGGUUAUUUCCAUCAGCUGCCGCAUCCCUCAAAGGAUGGCUGCUGAGAGAAUGAGUGACAGGGCUUCAUUUAUCUUCCAUGCAAAGGGUGCUGGCCUUCCACAAAAUAAAAGACCUAAAAUUUUCAACUGCCUUGGUUUCCACAGAAUCCAAAUCCACUGAGAGUAGAGCUCUCUUAAAAAUCUCCUGCAGUCUCUCCAAAGGCACCGCAGAGAGUACGUGAGGCCCUGGUCGCAAUAUAGCAACUUCAACAAAAGGGAGGAAGAGAAACCAGAACUGUGCACCAGCCAGUGAUGGGAAUGGAAACAUCUCUCUGUCCUUCCAAAUGUAAUCUCCAGACCAGCUUUCCCUCACGCUGCUCUUUCAAGCAGCGAUAGGUUGGAAAGCAUUUCACAGCUUCAACUGUUUUUUCUAUGCACAGGAGAGAUUCCUGGUCUCAGCUGUGUAAAUGUUUUAACUGAGAUUCAUGCUUGGCUAUUCAGGUCAUUGCUUUCUCUUCCGGCCCACACAGGCCAAAAUGCAUCUAUAUAAGCAUAAAGUGUCCAAAAUCAACACAGUAUUUUUCACUUGAACACACCCAUGGCACGUGGCUCACUCAGAGUACAGGGUACAAUGCCAAGCAGUAGAUUUGUAUAUUUGCCUGAUACGAACUUAGCAUGAUUUAUAAAAAAAGAUGCAAUAGCUCUGUUGUGUGCCUUUGCAAAUCUGACUUGGCAGAAACCCUUUUCAAAGAAGGAACCCGAGGAAACCAAACUCUCCCUUCUGUCUUAAGAAAGGACUAAUCUUACGUAGGAAGUGUUCUCAAGAUAUGUAAUAAUUUAUAUUCAGAAUUACAAUGUAUUUCUUUCUGAAUUUAAGUAACCCUCUAGCUCCUUUACUGGAAGAAUAAAAUAAUUUUCCUUCCCCUGUUUUGACUUUAUUGUAUAAGGGGUUUAGGGACGCCUUGAAACUAACAGCAGUUAACUGAUUAAAACGCUUUUAGUUAUAGAAAGACCUAGGUAGCUCUAGAGACACGUUUAGUCAAUGCAAAAAUGUGCAGGGAUUGUGUUCCCACAUAUUCUCACUCUGCCUGCAACUCUUUGCAAUGGCAAGCGAAGAUAACAAAACCCAAGGCACACCCUCUUAUGGCGCCAAGACUCUCCUUUUGUGACGCUUCCCUAGAGGUUUCUCUCAAAAUUCAGUGUAAUCAUAAACCCAGGAACUUGAGAACUAUUUUUACUAAAUUUAAUGAGGAGGUCAUGAGGUUUUUUGUGAUCCAAACUUGAGGUCCUUCUGAACUCACUGCCGAGGUAUUUUGCUGUUUGACAUGUCCCCUAUGGGGUGAAAGUGGCCAUGUUCUCAGCACCCAGGAACUGGUUUUGGUAUUUCAGUAGAUAAUUCACUGCCACAUAUACUUAUCCUUGUUGCUGGAGACUGCAAGGCUACCUGAUUGUUGGGCACCCAGAGAAGGGCUCCCAAACAAAUGUUCACGAGGCCACCGUUUGCAGCUGGUUUGGCUCGUGGGUUUCCCACACCUCUGGGCUCACAGACACUUGCCUGCUGGCAUGUACAAGGAAGCCAGAAGGCUUUGCUACUGUCUGAGAGUCCUUGAGAAAUAAAACUCGAUAGCUCUGGCCUUGGUAUAGGUGCAUUUAUCAUCUUAAGUCGAAAAGAAUACGUAUGUAAUAAAAAUAACAUAGUUCUUCUGCAGUUGGUCUUGCAAAACAGGAGGAGGAGGGCUUCCAUCUUUCCCUAAACUUGGGAAAACAACAAAAAAAAUGAAGGGUCUAAUGCUGAGAGGUCAAUGCAGCUGUCUUAAACCAUCUCCAUUUGCAUAUCAUUGUCACUGUCACCAUUGUCACAAACUCCCCCUUCUCUUUGCCAGCUGCAGUCUAUGGAAGGAGGUGCUGCCUAUGAGCCUUACCACACAAGGACCAUCAACAUGUCUUGCCUACAGCAAAGGAAUGCUCUAACCACUAAGCUAUUUGAUAAGCUUCACAUUUUCUUUUUCCAGCUUUGUAAAUCUAUAUGCCUAUUCUGUCAUGAGUUUUCUCACUUCUAGUCAUCCGAUUGUCUCCUCCAUCUCACCAGGGGGAAGUGAGUGAACGGCUGUGUGGGACUUAGCUGCCGGCUGGGGUUAAACCACGACAUACUUCUUUCCAACAGCAUUUAUCUCCGCAGAUUUGGAUCAAAGUUGGCAAUAGUUCUGGGACAACAAAGCUGCCAUUUCUGGUAAAUCGGUUUUGGCAGAGAAAAAAAAACCAAGUAUUUUUCUGCUUUUGUUCAGGGCAAAGUUGCUUUGGCAUCUGGAUAGCCCGAACUGCGAAUGCAUUUGUGUACAUCACUGUAAGUAAACAAACUUCCCGCAAGAGGUAGAAUAACAUUUAUUUGUGCUGAAAAAUCCUUAAUUGAUCUAUUCCUCAAGGACAUGGUUGCUUACUGUGUGCCUUACCAGCUGCAUUCAUUACAAGUAGCUAUGCCUGCUUCAGAUGUCACUAAAGGCAAGUGUUUCACAUAACGGGCCAAUUUAAAAGGUGGCUUCCAGAAGACAAAAGUUAAAACAAUGCAGAAGUUGAAAAUAUUUUUCCCCUAAAUUUCUUUUCUCCCUACAAAAUGAAUAAAGUUUUUAUGCUGACAUUUUAGGGCAACUUUCAUAUUGCCUCAACCCCUUCAAUUAAAAUCUGCCUCAAUGUCUACAAUUCACUAUGGAUUUGUAACAAGAUGGCCUUAACGCUGGGAUAGUUUCAAAGUCAUAUACCAGUGCAGAUUACCAGACUGAAUGAAAAAUACACUAUGUUUCAACUCAAGGUUGAGAUAUAGAAGGGGAAGCUUGUGUUGGUGAAACAUGAAUCAUUGUAGGGCCAGAUAUUGUAUUGUACUCUAAUUCCUCAAAUUCCACUUAUUUCCACUUGAUUGCUUUUUUUUAACCUCACAGAGGCACCAGUUGCCACCUCUGCUCCAGAAAGGUGUAGUACCAGGACAAUAUGGAAUAGCUACAGGACAGUUUAGAGCUAUACAGUUAAGUCCCUUUCGCUAUUUUGGCUAGCUUAAGGGAAAGCAAUAAAGCCACCCAACGAUGCAUAAAGCAGAGCCCAGCUUGAAUGAACAGGAUCAUUUUCAUAGGCCAGUUUGCCUCUGUGAAGACCUGAAUAGGCAUGCUACCUGUGUAUCCAGAACUAGUUACAGAAGGGUUAGAAGAAGGGAAAAAAACGCAAGAGGUGGAAGCAGCUGUUUGUUGAUGUUCUUACCUGGCACUAGGA